AUUUUAUAAUUGAAACUGUUAAUAUAUCUAAAAAUAUAAUGUGAGUUGUAGUUGAACGUUUUGCUUUGAUGAAACAGUUGUGUAUUCUGUCAUUUCUAGAUAUUUCUUUGGUAAACUGGAGGUGUACGAGGAGGAUGGGACGAGUAUCAUCAUCAGACAUUCCUGAAGUUUAUAGACAAAGGUACAAGGGCCGACCAGUCUUCCUAAAGCAAGUCUCAUAGCUGUACCUGAACCCACACGUAGGAAGAGAUCACGAAUCAUGACGAAAUGGUACCAAACUUAUCUAGACGUAAACGAGAGUAAGAAAGUAAGAAUACGCAAAUGGAAGGAACAAGAGCAGGUUAUCAGAAAGAAUUGAGGAAAGGGAAGGAGGAUUCUGAGAAGAAAGCUGCUGGUUAACCACACAGUCACACAAAGGUAUAAACAAUAGCCUGCUAACUGUAUGAUAACUACACCAUAGCAUACAGAUACUGUAAGGUUUAGUUUUUACUGACACUUCAUUCUUCACCAGUGGACUUUCCCUAAACUGUGUAAGGGAGAUAAUCCACUGUAUCAUAUGGUAGUUUUAUGUAGUUUGACAGGUGAAAUUUGACUUUAUUUAUUUUUCAUGCAGCAUUUUUUUACAUGAACAAUAGAUUAAUACAAUCUUGUAUCUUGAUAGAGAGUCAUCCUAAUUUAUUAUAAGUAGUCUGUCAGCAAUUCCAUUCUAGGACACAUCUCAAAAACAGUAAGGGUAGAUGUUUUCAAACUUCACAUGCUUUUAGACUUAUUGAUACAGAAAUGUGAAAUAUGGGUUUGUUUUCAAGAUCAAGGUUACUGUUGUGAUAAAUAGAAUAUGUGGCCUUUCUAAUCUAUUUUGUAUUUGUUCUAAAUAAGUCUCUAAUAAAGG